rnacentral:rRNA from 1 species
CACGUGCUACAAUGGGCGGUCAAAGGGUCGCAAACCCUAAGGGGGAGCAAAUCCAUCGAAAGCCGUCCUCAGUUCGGAUUGAGGUCUGCAACUCGACCUCAUGAAGCUGGAAUCGCUAGUAAUCGCGGAUCAGCAUGCCGCGGUGAAUACGUUCCCGGGCCUU